rnacentral:lncRNA from 1 species
AAACAAUGUCAAGUACAGAAGAAAACGACCCCGAAGACGAAUCACCCAAAAUUUAAGACCAUACCUUCGAGGACGCAGCAAGACUCGUACUGAUUUAGCCAUAAAUGCGGUAAUGGCAGAGAAGAACAAAGUUUCCAUUCCAUCCAAAUGAACAAUAAGUGAACUUUAACAGAGAACAGUGGAGUCCCCACCAAAAAUGAGAGACAGAAAGAUCUGUAAAGCUAUAUCAUAAGUAUGAUAUCACUCAGCAAAGGCUCUCCCAGUGUGUGUGAAGCAAGUCUGAAAAACUAAACGAAGCAGACCUUUUGUUCAUCUGCUUGUUGUUAAACAACGAGAAAGACUACAAUGGGCGAGCUCCAGAGGGGAAUUCAAAAGGCUGUGACACUUUAUUAACAGUUAACAAGGCGUUAAACUCAAACAGCAGGUGAAAGUUACAAGCUAGCAUCCUUGUUUGACAUCUGAUGCGUUCAUCAACAGGAAAACCUCAGCAUUUUGUUCACAACUGGAAUUAACAGGAAACAGCCAGAGCAAGCUACAAUGUCCUUGCAGGGCUCAGGAGAGGACUUCACAUUUCAGAGUUAACGUAACGAUACCAGCAUCUCAGAGAAAGUUUCGAUUGAGUGUUGGAAGUAAUCGGGAAUUGCUUUGGUUUUUUACUUUACCACGCUCUGUCAUUGGUCGAGAAAACUCGUGCUAAAUUUCCGACCAAUCAGAUUAAAAGCUAAAACCAAUCACUACUUCGUCACCAACGUUUUCCCGCGCUUAACGUAAGUUGUUUGGGUUCCGUUUGGGUUCCUAUUGGCUGAUUAAGAAAUUUCUCUUUCAUCUGGUUGGCCGAUGCAAUUCCCUGGUCAUGGUCUCACGACAUUCAAUCGAAAGCUCUCUUGUAGCUAAUAGCCUCGCCAAGCUCUAAGAAUGGUUUGAAAACAUGGACGACACCUUGUUUGCUAAUGAUAACUUGACAAAAUUCUCAUACCACUGCCUGCGACAGCCAUCAGUGGCUCUUUACUGAACACGACAUGAUCAAAAGAACAGCUGGCUGAGCACACUCAAUAAUUACAAGAGAGCAGUCAUAUCUGUACCGCAUUUUCCGCUGCCAAAUCACAGACUAACAAACCUCUUCACAACUUACCUGAUCAUAUUAUACUGGAAAGGAUAACUCAAAUGUUCGCCACUAACAUUGCAGAGAGUGAAAAAUCAGCAAUUCAACAUCACAGAUAACAACCAUGGCCGUCAUUUUGUACUAACAGUUUGUUUUUUAACAUGGUCACUACUUCUGAGUAAACUUCCAAAUAACCGCAAGCACAUUACAUUUCAUUACAUUUGAUAUCCAAACUUAACUUAUGCCAUACCACGUACUUGUUAUGUAUUUCGUAUCAAGUGCCUCAUAACACAAUCAAUAACGAUCUUGCGAUGCAUUUAGCUAUGAUGUAACCUUAUGUUUUUCAGGUUUUAAUUCAGCUAAGAAAGCCAGUACUAAUAGGCUUACCAUAUGAAGGAACUUUGAACCUUUUAAACUAACAUCUGGCAUUGUUUGAUUUUCUUUUCGAGUCUAAUAAGUAAAUACGAAGUGACACGUCAACCACACGUGAGUACUAAGUAUAAAUCAAUAUGCCUCAUUGAUAUAGGCAGACGGGCUUUUCAAAAUAAGAAUAAUCGAAAUUACACGAGCGCUAACGUUCGCUUCUUUGAAAGCUUUGCACCUGAAAGACACGUUUGCCCUUCGUUUCUUUCCAGUCAUUUGAUAAUACUUUUGACUAAUACUUUCUUUCAGGGUUUCUAAUCUUGACAUCUUUCAUCUAGCAAAUGUCCGGUCAGGCUCUAAUAUGCUACUAAUGCUAACUGGAAUGCUGCUUAACUGGUCAGUAUGACACAAAAUAGAUGAUACAAUUAAUACCGCUCACAUUAACACCACCAUAUUGGCCACUCACAUUAACACCACCAUAUUGGCCGUAAUCCAAGCCGUCUAUAUGGUAACAUGGGCGAAGCUUAAUGGCGAUGCAUGUCUUAUAUCAGUACCUUAACAUUAUAUGCAGUUUUUUCUGCGACUAACCCUCGCCAUAAUUGUACCUUUUGUGACUAAUUUCAAUAAUCUUGCUUUAAUUCUCAGACUUAAACAUAUUUAAACGCUAUGCUCCUCUUGCUUCACUUCCUAAUUUCAUAUCUGAUGCCGGGUUAAACGCUAAACAGUAGAGCUAAUACUAAUACUUGUGCUACUUAGAAUCGAUUCCCAAAUGAUUCCACUUCUUAAUCGAUACUUAUACUGAUUCUAUCACCCAUGCUUCUAAUGCCUACGCUAACAUGCUAAUACUAACACUGAUUUUAACAGUGAUACUAAUCCUUUAUCUUAUUAAAUCUAAUUUAGUAAAAAGGCGCCAAAAGUUUUCCAGUAUCUCAUCCGGGAUUUUCUUCCCUCUUUUCUAUGAUUGGUCGAGAAAAUUCGCACCAUCCCCUCAACCAAUCAGAUGUAAAAUUUGUAAUAAUGUUUUCCAGCGUUUCUUGCCACCUACCCUAAAUUCUCAUUGGCCCACUGGUUUUCACGUGAUGAUCACGCUGUGCUUAUUCUAAAAGCAUUAGGAACUUAUGCCCGUAUUAGAAAUAGCAUUAAUGAUUAUAACAUCACUAUCUGGUAAAUGCCUUCUUAAUAAAAUGCAGACACAACUUUUAAUCGGAAACAGUUUGCAUUCUCACUUUGCUACAGCUUAAAUUCCUUCCAUCCAUGAGGCACUAGUACUUAAUUUAACUCUUAAUAUCACCAGGGCCUCCGACCUUGUCAUUGGCAAAAUAAUUGAACACGUACCAUACUAAACGACAUCUAAUCCUAUUCUAAGUGAUUAAUUUUACUAAGAGAAAAUAAUGAGAUUAUUAAUAAUAAUUGUAAUAUUAGUUAUAAUCUUAACAUGUAUUAAUCGCGUUAUCACAUUCCAGUAAUAAAAUAAGAGGUACUCCAUUACGCUAAUACUCACACCACUUUUUUUUUUAUUUCUCAUGAUAGCCUCGAACAGUUCUUUGAUUGCAAAUUAUAAGGAAAAGGCUUAGUUAA